AAUGUGCUAACGUUCGCUUGAAGCCUGUUGGCUUUGACAAACAUGGACGAAAGUUUGAACAAUGCUUCUUCAUGAGGGUUCUAGAAAAUCUUUUUUUAACUUGGUCAAACGUUUGUCUACAUGCAUCUUGGAAUUCGGUGUCGCCAUUGAAGACUUUAGUCCUCAAACCUUCUGUACAAUUAAUUCGCUGACAUGACGGAAAGCUUUGAACUUUCAUCUGAGGAGGAAUCCGGUUUAACUGACACAACAGUCGCAAUAGCUUAUCCUACACCAUGCAUUCAGUUAAAAUGCUAACAAACGGUUAGCAGUUUAGCUGGCUGCUUGGAGUUAGCAUCCAGCUAGAUGGCUGGGCUCCGGUUCCAGGAGUCACAAAUUGCAGACACACAAAUGAAAAGAGUAAUUAAUGAUGAUGAUGGCGAUGGUAACGAUAACCAGUAAGGUAAGGAAAGGGUAAGAAGAAAAGUAAGGAUGUGAGACUCGGUUGACCUAAACAAGAUUUUUCACGAUUGAUGGCUGGAAAGCACGAUUUGAGAAGAGGCGGUGCUCAUUCAUUUUUAUUGAUUCUUAAACGCCAUAUUGUUUACAUGAAGUGUUGUCCGAAUACAAUGUUAUUUACAAACAAUGCGGUCAGGAUGGUAUGACAGCAUGCAAUAUUAUAAUGCAAAAUAUCUGCAUGAAGUAUUACAAGUACACAAUGUUACCGAGAUGUAAUGUUACCUAACUGCCGUGAUUUCUGUUUAAAGUAAUGAUAGCAGACUGUUAGUUGAUGAAUGAAAUAUUAAUUAAAUGCAGUGUAAUUUGAAUGUAAUGUUAUCAGCAUGGAUGAUCAUGUGAAUUGAAUGUUAUCUGUGAAUGUCUCGUCUGAAGAAUCAGUAAUAUAAAGAGUUAUUUUACGCCCCAAAAUCUGUGCGGAUGCAUGAGAACAUCCGGGUAUUAAAGUGGGUGAGGCUGACUCACACCAAGACCAGAAAUAUUCAACGGCAUCACAAGGAUUAGGUCGUGCCACCCAAGCUGAGUCUUGAGGCAUUUCCUUCUUUCUGUUUUUUUUUUUAAUCAGAUCAUACCCCACCCUCAUCAUAUCUUUCCUGAAGACUUACCCUUUCCUUUCUUGAUGAUGAUGGACAGGAGAGAAGAACCGGUUGCUGACGGCUCUGUGGUUUAAGUAACCGGAGAUUGCUACUAUCUUCUUGUCGACAAUUCUCACACAGCGCUUUAAAAACUUAACUCAAAAUUUUUAGUAAAUAAAAAAUGUUUCAUCCCCUCCACUUUCUCCAAACCAACACACAUAACACCACAUACAGUACAUUAACCACUAAGAUAGGAUUGUUGGGAUUUGAUUGGUUAUCGGCUCAGCACGGAUAAUGACAGUUUACUGAGACUGAUAAGCACCACUCGACAACAGCUUUUCCGAGCGCUUGUUUUCAAGGCCAAUGAAGUCCAGGUCAUUGUCAAAUGUUUCUAAUAAAUAUCUUGGCUUUACUUUGCUGUCUGGCUGCUCAGUGGUCUGUCUCCUCCGUCAGUAAGGCAGUGCAGCAUGUUCAUUAAUUGUCUUAAUUUUAUUUAAUUUUCAUCUGUUUGCUAUGUUUCUCAGUUUCAGUUCAUCCAAUUUGAUUAGGAUGGCGAACCUGGUGUCAAGUGUCAUCCAAGUGCUAACCUUUCACCUCCGUCUUUGAACAGCACUGUCAAGCCCUCUCGGAGGAGCAGCUAGUACUAGUGGAGCACUUGACUCUCUCCUCCUUGCCCUUCCCCACAACCCUCAUGGCCUGCACUACACACUUGGCUCGGUGGUGGUAAGUCUGAACUUCUUGCAUUUGUUACUUGUCGCUUGUGACUAAGAAAGCUCGAUGCACGUUCCGAGAACACUAAGUGUGCUAAUUUAUGCUAAUGUAUUCUGUUGUUCAUCAGAGCAGAUGAAUCAUGGGGAACUCUAAGAAUGGCUGAAAUCCUCAGAAAAUCCCUGAUUCAUGACGGAUUAUGUUGACAUCACGCGCGGAAGUUUCUAGAGCCUGGUGCAGUACAAGGAGUGUUUGUUAGUGGCUGUUAUUAUGUUUCUAAGCACGUGAUGCACGGCAUGAAUUGCAACAGAAAAAUACACUUUAGUUUGGCGAAGCACGAAUGUUGGGCAGAGGUCCUUCUGCUCACUGUUCUAAGCAACAACAAUGUCAUCAAUCUUGGGCUAAGGCUGGCCAGAACCUGAGACUUGAUUGAUAUCAGCGUUCGUUUUCUUUUGCUCCGCGAUAACUCUUUCCCAAAUCCUGGCGUAGGGGCAAAUAACUGAGAUAGCGAAACCCCAGGGGAGAUAACUGGCCUUUCUCGCGGUUCACCCCCUUGACCUACUCCAAAGGACUCUAUUAAAUAAUUACUAACAUAAAGGAGCUUUGCUAUUUUACAGCUCAAGACAGGCUAAUUCACAUACUCCCUGCUCUCGAGGUAGAUAUGAACUCCAUUUUGUCCACAGUCUGCUCGGGUGGACCAGGUAGUUCAGGUAAACACACUGGAGGUGGGGUGGACCAGGUAGUUAACACUGGAGGUGGUUUUGAACGAGGUCUGUGAGAGGAUGACCAAAGCAUAAGCACUCGCCUCUGCCAUGUCAGCACGACAGUCGAGUUCGGAGGCAGAUUCACCAAGUGCUCAUGUCCAGUCUUCAACGGCCAAGACAGGGAAGCAAAGCACCGGUGGUUCGCCACCAAACACCAGACAGGGAGGGCAAGCCACCCCGCAACGACAGCCCAGUCUCGGAGGAAAUUCUACUCAGUCACGGCCAGCCACAAGACGAGAAGACGCAGAGCUCAGCCCUCGCAACAGCCUGAAAGAGACAGGACCUGCAAUUUCCAGACAUUCCAGUUCAAGGAUCAAGAACCGAGCAUCUGAUGGAGUUGACCCCGCUAGCGAGACGACCUCUGCGGCGGAGAGUAAACGCGGUCUGGACGAUGUUGAGAAGCUCUCGCAGGCGGCAAGGAGUCGAAGCUCGACCCACAGGGAAAAGGACAGAAUUAAAGACAAGCACUCAAACCCUGAGGUUAACGAAGAGAAAGACAAGGAAGAUGAAAAAUCCGCCAGUGAUGCAGCUUUCAACAGCGAUGUUCUUGGGAUCGAGAGGUACAGCAGCUGCAGUCGGGUGGAUGCAGCUGGUGCUCGCGCUGUGCUAGACUUCGGACCGGAGGUGUGCAGCUGUUUCCCCUCCCGCAGCAGCCACACGGUGCCGUCUAUGCUGUACGACCAGGUCCACUGCCUACACUGUCACGUGACAGGUCACGCCCACGUGGGCGUUUUCCAUUUCGAUGAUAACUGGGACGCCAAUGUACGCAAUGUGAAGUCAACGGAUCGACAUCCGCCCACCAAGAAAUACAUCAGCGGCUACCCAUAUUUCCAGCUCUCAGAAUUUCAAGAAGACGACCACAGCGCUGGCAAAGAAAAAUCACACAACACGACAACUGAAAGAUCACGUGCAGGACAACGAGGUUAGAAAACACACACCUGCACUGAAGCUAGAGCAGCCAGGUAAAGGAGACAAGGAGACAACCAGCUUUGACGAAGAAGGGAACAAACUCCUCUUAGCCUCGUCUGCCGUGUCCAGGUGCGUGCUGACCCGAGCGACAACGGAGAAGCCGAGUUCACUUCUAAAAAUAGAAGACACGUCACUGAACAUCUCUCACGAACGGGAGGCGAAUAGAGGGGAGACAAAACUGUGCCGGUGACCGUGGAAACGCCAUCCCGUGUGGCCAGUCAGUCCUCUUUGGUGGAAACAUUCCAGAGACACGACCUCAGCCGGUGAAUUCGUAUCGAGGUCCAGGACCUUCCGGGGACAGUUUUACGAUCCUGCCACAGACGAGUGUUACAUAUUUGACAUCACCCCUGAUUUCGGGAGACGACUCGACCAGUGGAAUGCUCGCAAGGAACUAACGAGACAGAGAACUCGCGACACCAAGAAGACAAAGGGAGACAAUUACUGAUUCUGGCAUUGUAGGUCAUUAAUUAGGUUUGCUCAGGAAAACUGCAUUGGAAGAUUUCCAUUUUAAGAAAAUUAACAAUUAUAUGUAUAGAUUAACGACAAAGAAUAUGUGUGCUAAACUUUAUUUACAGAAUAGGAAGGGCAUUUGUCUGCAACAAAAAUGAAAAGGAAAAAUAGACCGGCAAACGUGAUGGACCUCCAAGGACAAUAAUUUUUUUUCUGUUUUCGCUUCAUUAUAAAUCAGUCAUUAAAUAAGUUACAAAAAAAUGUCAUAUUUCAUGUCACAGCACAGAUGUUAGAAAUCCCAGAUUUUAAACAAGAACAGUUUCUAUUUAGAACUAUUUUCCUUCCAGCUCCUCAAGAAAGGAUGAAGUGUGAUACAUUCACACAUAACUGACAUAAUCACCAAUUUAUGUGUGACUCAUUAUACUUACACCAGCCAAUACUAAACACGCACAACAUCAUCUAUUUAAGACUUUAUUUUGAAAAAUAUUUCAAAUCAGGAGCAUAAAUAAUAAUCUGACUGCUUUCCAUGCAACAUUCAGUGUUUGAGGAUGAAUUGCGGCUUCUGACAACAAGCAAGUUAACAAGAUACAGAGCAAGACCUGCUAAACAGAGACACAAAAGGGAAGGAAGGAAGAAGAAAAUCAUAUGUAAAGAACAGUUUCGUUUUUUGUUCCGAAAUUAGACAAGUUCUUUUUCUGCAUAGACUGUCAAUACAUCCGAAAAAAAAAGUUUUAGCAUCUACUUCAUAAAUUUUCUGACAAGACAUCUAAUCAUGACUGGUACCAUGUUUAAAUGUCGAAGCACUGAUGAUUUUAUCAACUGUGGACUUUUAAUUUCAAGAUAUUCUCGUGUUAUUAUUUAUGGGAAGCCCAUAGAAAAAAAAACAAGGAAAGCAACAACAUAAACAUUAUGGGAUGCUCCGGCAAGCCCUGCGUUCUCCUCUAUCAUAUUAUCAGAUAAUUGUUGCACGAGGCUCACUGGAAGCUGCUUUGCCAUAGUUUAUAUCUGUAAAAAAAAAAAAA